rnacentral:rRNA from 1 species
GAUGAACGCUGGCGGCGUGCCUAAUACAUGCAAGUCGAGCGAACGGACGAGAAGCUUGCUUCUCUGAUGUUAGCGGCGGACGGGUGAAUAACACGUGGAUAACCUACCUAUAAGACUGGGAUAACUUCGGGAAACCGGAGCUAAUACCGGAUAAUAUUUUGAACCGCAUGGUUCAAAAGUGAAAGACGGUCUUGCUGUCACUUAUAGAUGGAUCCGCGCUACAUUAGCUAGUUGGUAAGGUAACGGCUUACCAAGGCAACGAUGCAUAGCCGACCUGAGAGGGUGAUCGGCCACACUGGAACUGAGACACGGUCCAGACUCCUACGGGAGGCAGCAGUAGGGAAUCUUCCGCAAUGGGCGAAAGCCUGACGGAGCAACGCCGCGUGAGUGAUGAAGGUCUUCGGAUCGUAAAACUCGGUUAUUAGGGAAGAACAUAUGUGUAAGUAACUGUGCACAUCUUGACGGUACCUAAUCAGAAAGCCACGGCUAACUACGUGCCAGCAGCCGCGGUAAUACGUAGGUGGCAAGCGUUAUCCGGAAUUAUUGGGCGUAAAGCGCGCGUAGGCGGUUUUUUAAGUCUGAUGUGAAAGCCCACGGCUCAACCGUGGAGGGUCAUUGGAAACUGGAAAACUUGAGUGCAGAAGAGGAAAGUGGAAUUCCAUGUGUAGCGGUGAAAUGCGCAGAGAUAUGGAGGAACACCAGUGGCGAAGGCGACUUUCUGGUCUGUAACUGACGCUGAUGUGCGAAAGCGUGGGGAUCAAACAGGAUUAGAUACCCUGGUAGUCCACGCCGUAAACGAUGAGUGCUAAGUGUUAGGGGGUUUCCGCCCCUUAGUGCUGCAGCUAACGCAUUAAGCACUCCGCCUGGGGAGUACGACCGCAAGGUUGAAACUCAAAGGAAUUGACGGGGACCCGCACAAGCGGUGGAGCAUGUGGUUUAAUUCGAAGCAACGCGAAGAACCUUACCAAAUCUUGACAUCCUUUGACAACUCUAGAGAUAGAGCCUUCCCCUUCGGGGGACAAAGUGACAGGUGGUGCAUGGUUGUCGUCAGCUCGUGUCGUGAGAUGUUGGGUUAAGUCCCGCAACGAGCGCAACCCUUAAGCUUAGUUGCCAUCAUUAAGUUGGGCACUCUAAGUUGACUGCCGGUGACAAACCGGGGGAAGGUGGGGAUGACGUCAAAUCAUCAUGCCCCUUAUGAUUUGGGCUACACACGUGCUACAAUGGACAAUACAAAGGGCAGCGAAACCGCGAGGUCAAGCAAAUCCCAUAAAGUUGUUCUCAGUUCGGAUUGUAGUCUGCAACUCGACUACAUGAAGCUGGAAUCGCUAGUAAUCGUAGAUCAGCAUGCUACGGUGAAUACGUUCCCGGGUCU